UGAGGAAUAUUGGUCAAUGGGCGCAAGCCUGAACCAGCCAUGCCGCGUGCAGGAUGAAGGCCCUAUGGGUUGUAAACUGCUUUUCUCUGGGAAUAAACCCCUUUACGUGUAAAGGGCUGAAGGUACCAGAGGAAUAAGGACCGGCUAACUUCGUGCCAGCAGCCGCGGUAAUACGAAGGGUCCAAGCGUUAUCCGGAUUUAUUGGGUUUAAAGGGUGCGCAGGCGGGACCUUAAGUCAGUGGUGAAAUCUCGUAGCUCAACUACGAAACUGCCAUUGAUACUGAGGUUCUUGAAUGUAGUUGACGUUAGUGGAAUGUGUCAUGUAGCGGUGAAAUGCUUAGAUAUGACACAGAACACCGAUCGCGAAGGCAGCUAACGAAGCUAUUAUUGACGCUCAGGCACGACAGCAUGGGGAGCAAACAGGAUUAGAUACCCUGGUAGUCCAUGCCGUAAACGUUGAUCACUCGACAUUGGCGAUAUACUGUCAGUGUCC
rnacentral:rRNA from 1 species